ACCUCAACAAUUUUGAGGUCUGAAUCUGAAUGCUCAUAUGUAACUGAGGGAUAAGAACAAAAAGAACACGUCGCUAAUUGAUAUCCAAAUCAAUCUUCUUCAAGCUGAGGUUUAUGCUCAAUGGUGUUUAAAUUUAUUAGCACGGUAAAUUUAUGUGUAAAGAAACUCUUGGAUUUGUUUGAUAUUUUGUGGAGUUAUUAUGUGUUGUAACCAUGGCACCCACGCUAAGAUAUACCAAGGUCCAUUGUUCUGUUCUAUAUACUAAUGACUUUGGCUUUGUACCAAGGUCCAGUGUGUCAUGGCAUGAGUAUGUUUAUAACACUCAUUUUUCGAAGAAAAAAAAAACCUCAUUCAAUUUUUUUAUGAAAAAGUUUUCAAUAUUCAUGGCCUGUUACUUUUAACAGAGUAGGAUAGGACCAAUUCCAAGUAAUUAUGUGAUUUUUCUAUGUUCACAACUUGGUAGGAAGAGGAAUAGGAUUUUGAUUCUAGCUUUUGUGCCACUUAAGGCACUGUGUACAGAAAUUCUUUUUCUAAAUGCACGAUUUUGGUCAUUUAUAAUUUCAGUUGAUAUUUCUUUUCUAUUCUGUGAGGUUUUCCAUUUUCUUCUUCUUCAUUAUGUUUCAAACAAAAAAUCCUCUUCACUGGAUCACUAAAUAGAAAAGAAAAAGUUGACAUUUUUUUCCUUACACACUUGAAAACUUUUAUCCCAUUUCUGAUUCAAUUCUUAAGGAAGUUUUUUAUCUUUGGAUUUCUGGCUUCAUAAGCUUUUGUUGGUGUAGAGUGGAAGAGUUGGUGAUUUGAUGCAGCUUUCUGUUGUAUUUAGAGGGCUGAGAGUCUAUCUUUUUUCGCUCAUUUAUUUAGAGGGCUGACACCCCCCCCCCCCCAACCUCUAUUUCAUCUGAUUUCACUGAUCUGUUUGAUUUCUCCUAUUCUCUUAUUUCUAUGUAUCUGCACACAUGAAGCUAAUAAUUAUCUUCAUUUAGGCAAAACCUGAUACAAAAUCUAAAGAGGUCAAGUAAAGAUUGUUGAUCCAAAGAAAGAUGAGGAAGAGGAUGAAUAAUGAGAGGAUGUGUCUGGCUACGAAGAUGAUCUUAUAAGUUCUGAUGGAGUAUUGUUCUCACUCUGGGUUUAAAUCUCUUUUUUUCGUAGUUUAUUACUGUAUGUGUGGGAUUUCAAGAUGCUUUUUUUUUUUUUUAAUUCAAUGUUCCCAAGAUCAAACAGAAUGCUUUUACAAAAGAUAUUGGUAAUGAAGUUACCUUUCCUUUUGAUUUUAAGUUCUUCUAAUGUCCAGUUUGAAUUUAAGUUGGAGGUUUGGAUGUGGGCUAUUAUAAAAUUCAUCAUAAAUAGAUGUCUGCAAAAGUAUUAUUUGCUUCAUUAAUUUAAUCUCUCCUUCCCAUAAUCCCAUUGGCACAGUUGCAGUUUCUCUAUUACAGCAUCUAGCAAACAUGUGUUUUUGGGACUGGAAGAUUCAGUCCUCAAAUUCUCUUUUUUUCUUCAAAUUUACCACUGAACAAAUGGUUUCUUAUAAUAAUAUGCAUAAAAGACAAAUCUCAAUCAAUCUUGAUGAAUAUUGUUCUGUUUAGAGUAGACACAAGGAAAAGAAAAUAAAGACCACUUGAUGUGUUUUUGAAGAUUCGAGGAAUGUAGUGUGUCAUUUUGAAACUUGUGUGUAAAAACAAAUGUUUCUCUUUCUUGAUAAAUAGGGAAUAUUAUACUACUUCUGUCUAUGUUGAUGAUCAUUAUAUCUUCAUCUUCACAUGUCACUCUUUCUUGUGUUUAUCUUCUCUAGCCUUAUUUUUCAUUACUUCUCUAGCCUGAUUUUCCAUUGCAUGAUGCAGGGAGACUGUCAAAAUUAUUUUUAGUCCUCACUUUGAGAAAUGUAAGUUGUAGUUGGAUCAACUUUUACCUUGAAAAUGAUAAUAGAGUUCUUAUUUGUUAACUGGUUUGUAUAUUGCAACCUUUUUGUGUUUCUUCAACCUUCUCUUUAUCUUGCUUUUUAGUUUAUUGGCAUUCUUACAUGUGUUUGAAUUAGCAAUCUGGUUUCAGGACUCGAGUAUGUACCAUUUUAGCAUGUUUCACGCCUCGCACCAUAUUGUACUUGUACCUGCCUGCCAGCAAAGAAGAGAUAGAAGUUGAAGCAUCUUCUGUGAAGGGGGUUUCUGUGCAAAGGGAAGAGUUUAAUUGAUGAGUGUGAGGUUGAUUUAUUGCUUUUAAAAAGUCAAUUUAUGAGACGGAGCAUUCAAGGGAGUUCAAGUGAUUUGGUUACCGGAUAUAUGGACUAUGGGGUGGAUGCCAUCAUAGAGCAGUGAAGAGGAAAAGAAGUAGGAACAAACUUCUACCAGAGCUAGAAUCAGUUGUUUCUUGAUCUAGAAAUGGAAGCUCUAAUGCAUGAACUUGAUGAGGAAGAGAUGCAAAUGGAUGAAUUAGCAAAGAGGGAAAAGAAUCCACUCCUUGAGAUGUUGAUGCUGCUAAACCUGUUGAAAAGGGCUCAUGACAAACUGCAGCUGUUAAACGUGAUGAAAAUAUUAUACAGAUAGAGAAUAGUUGGUUGGUUGUUUCAUACAACUAUUGGUAGAUAGGGAUAAUGAGGUAUGGCAGGCAUCAAAUCAUGAAAGGUGAUCAUGAAAAGGCUACAUCUUCUCAUUUGAUACUGUGCUGAAAAACAAAAGACUUUGACUUGGUAUUCAUGCUAUGAAUAAUAUUGUUAUAAGUUUUCAAGCUGCAAGUACUUUUAAAGUUGGUCUCUUUACUCUCAAGAGCUAUUGAUAAUACAAUUUGGUUUUAGAGUAGUGUAAUCUAAUUUGUUUGUCAUCUGCUACCUUGAUGUUCAUUAUGGUUUUCACACGGUUCAAUCCCUAUUGUUAGUGUUGUAUUAGUUUUGGCAGGAUAUUGGAAA